AUUGGUUUAAUUUGAGUAAAGUUAGUUGCUUUUUGUGGAUUUGUGGUGAUGCAGAGGCUGGGCUUAAAGUUCAGUACAUUGCGGUGUAUGAUAUAACAUACUCCAUCGACUUAGGUUUGCAAAAUUUCUGGCGGUUGUGGCCCAGGAGCUUGAUUUAGUUCAUUUUUUUGUGUAUUUUUUGUUUGGUGAAUUUUGGGGGUCGGAUUGGUGUUUUAUCUACAUUUGCUUUGUUUUGGUAGUGCAAACAAUUUCUUGCUGGUCUACUUGAGCACGGCAGACUUACACAGCAACAAUUAAUGGACAGAGCCAAUCAGAAAUCCAAAUCAAAUAGCAGUCAAGGUAUUGCUUUAAUGUUUGACCUAUUUGAUAUCGGAAAAUGAUGAAUUCAAUAGUGUUCUUUUGUGGGAAGGAAAAGAGAAUUUAAUGGGAUGUUGUGAUUAAAUGUACUUUUUUUUUUUUGUGCUCUCCAUGCCUAUACAUGCUAUUUUCUAUUGGGGAUAGUAAGUACUGUUUCUGGGUUUUCUUUCUGCAGUUCAGAAUGCUGCUCAAGAUAACUUUGUUAGACUUGUGACUGCUCGUUUUGUUGAAUGUUGCCCGGCCCCUGAACCACUUCUUGAAGAAGCACCUGAACAAGAAGGUCCAAAGAAGCCACGCUCUAAAUCUGCUAAGGAAUUAUGACCACAAUAUUAUUGGCACUUCUUCAUAUAAACAGAGGGCAUGCCAAUAUUAUUACUGAAAUGGCGGAGGUAUUCGGCGGUGGCGACGAGGUGUUGCGAUUGAGAAUUGGAGCUGAGCACGCCAUUGUUUACAUCGACAGAGCCUCUGUAGGGAUUUGAAGGAGAUAGGACUUGACCUUGGCUGCGAUUUUUCAUCUCCGCCUGUGCAGGUCAGUCCAGACCUCUAUGGUGACAGCAACACGAUGUCAAUAUACUUGUCUGGAAGGUAAAAUCAUAGUAGUUGCUACUUCCAGUUAGGUUUUUAUUUUUAGGACUGCAACUUGGUGAGGCACAAGAAGUUGUUAUGGGUUAUUUAGUACUAUGGACUGAACCCUUGCUUUUAGGACAACUUGGUGAGGCACAAGGAAGUUAUUAUGGGUUUAGUUCAGUUCAUAUAGGGAUGUGAGUCUUGUGACAA